CGCAAUGGACGAAAGUCUGACGGAGCAACGCCGCGUGAGUGAUGAAGGUUUUCGGAUCGUAAAGCUCUGUUGUUAGGGAAGAACAAGUGCCGUUCAAAUAGGGCGGCACCUUGACGGUACCUAACCAGAAAGCCACGGCUAACUACGUGCCAGCAGCCGCGGUAAUACGUAGGUGGCAAGCGUUGUCCGGAAUUAUUGGGCGUAAAGGGCUCGCAGGCGGUUUCUUAAGUCUGAUGUGAAAGCCCCCGGCUCAACCGGGGAGGGUCAUUGGAAACUGGGGAACUUGAGUGCAGAAGAGGAGAGUGGAAUUCCACGUGUAGCGGUGAAAUGCGUAGAGAUGUGGAGGAACACCAGUGGCGAAGGCGACUCUCUGGUCUGUAACUGACGCUGAGGAGCGAAAGCGUGGGGAGCGAACAGGAUUAGAUACCCUGGUAGUCCACGCCGUAAACGAUGAGUGCUAAGUGUUAGGGGGUUUCCGCCCCUUAGUGCUGCAGCUAACGCAUUAAGCACUCCGCCUGGGGAGUACGGUCGCAAGACUGAAACUCAAAGGAAUUGACGGGGGCCCGCACAAGCGGUGGAGCAUGUGGUUUAAUUCGAAGCAACGCGAAGAACCUUACCAGGUCUUGACAUCCUCUGACAAUCCUAGAGAUAGGACGUCCCCUUCGGGGGCAGAGUGACAGGUGGUGCAUGGUUGUCGUCAGCUCGUGUCGUGAGAUGUUGGGUUAAGUCCCGCAACGAGCGCAACCCUUGAUCUUAGUUGCCAGCAUUCAGUUGGGCACUCUAAGGUGACUGCCGGUGACAAACCGGAGGAAGGUGGGGAUGACGUCAAAUCAUCAUGCCCCUUAUGACCUGGGCUACACACGUGCUACAAUGGACAGAACAAAGGGCAGCGAAACCGCGAGGUUAAGCCAAUCCCACAAAUCUGUUCUCAGUUCGGAUCGCAGUCUGCAACUCGACUGCGUGAAGCUGGAAUCGCUAGUAAUCGCGGAUC
rnacentral:rRNA from 1 species